GGUUCUCUGGUAUGUUACUGACUUCACUGGCUGCUUCAUUUUAUUUUUUAAGAAUUAUUUUUUUGGUAGUUUGGCUAAGAUUAUUCCUUUGAUUCAGUUUCAUGGUGCUUACAAUAAUGACUUGCUGUACUUUGUGGUUUGAAGUGCUUGUUCACUUUUCAUUAGUUGGUAUUCCUGUAAAUGGCAACUGUCACUGACCUUUUUUUUUAAUCACCUGCUAAUGUUUAUCUUCUAAACUAAAUUUUGGGCAUUUGUGGUUUGUGCAGGAUACAGUGGCUCGAAAGCCUGC
rnacentral:misc_RNA from 1 species